rnacentral:rRNA from 1 species
GAUGAACGCUGGCGGCGUGCCUAACACAUGCAAGUCGAACGGAACUUUUCUGACCGGAGGCUUCGGCCAAAGGUCGGUUAAGUUUAGUGGCGGACGGGUGAGUAACGCGUGAGCAACCUGCCCUUCGGAGGGGGACAACAGCUGGAAACGGCUGCUAAUACCGCAUAUCGCAAGAGAGUCGCAUGGCGUUUUUGUGAAAGAUUUAUCGCCGAAGGAUGGGCUGGCGUCUGAUUAGCUAGUUGGUGAGGUAACGGCUCACCAAGGCGGCGAUCAGUAGUCGGACUGAGAGGUGGAACGGCCACAUUGGGACGGGGAUACGGCCCAGACUCCUGCGGGAGGCAGCAGUGGGGAAUAUUGGGCAAUGGGCGCAAGCCUGACCCAGCAACGCCGCGUGGAGGAAGAAGGCUUUCGGGUUGUAAACUCCUUUGACCAGGGAAGAAGAAGUGACGGUACCUGGAAAACAAGCCACGGCUAACUACGUGCCAGCCGCCGCGGUAAUAC